AUGGUUUUUGGCAUGCUUUCCACUAGUUUUUCUAUGGUCUGGUUCGGUAUUUUUGCCCAUUCUUCCUGAACUCUUACCCAAAGUUCGUCCAUAUUUUUGGGGGCCCUCUCAUAUACCGCCAACCUUUUUUUUUAAAUUGCCCAUAAAUUUUCGAUUGGGUUGAGAUCGGGGCUUUGAGCAGGCCACUUCAGGACUUUAAAACGUUGGUCAGAUAACCAAUUUUGCACGAUUUUCGCUGUGUGUUUGGGGUCCCCGUCUUGUUGGAAUAGGACCUUAUCUUCAGGAUAUGCGCUCAUCUCGACGAAAUCAGGCUAAUUUGUUCUUAAAAUAUGAAGAUAAUCUUCCUUUUUCAUUAUGCCAUUGAUUUUUGUUAAUGGGCCAACAUGCCACCAAGUAAAACAGCCCCAUACCAUUAAACUGCCUCCGCCAUGCUUCACAGUUUGCUUUACCUGAUGCUUUUGAAGCGUUUCUUGUGGACGGUGCCAGUAGUAUUGUUUUCCAUCUGACUGGAAGCGAUUUAUUUUUGUUUCGUCUGACCAUAUCACUCGUUUCCAGUCAUCGACGCUCCAAUUUUUGCAAUCGUUACAAAAUUUCAACCUUGCUUUUAAAUUUUUGUCAGACAAAGCCCGUUUUUUUGUCUUGACUGAUGAGAUCAAACCAAUUCGUUGAAGAGCUCUACGAGCCGUCCACUCACUUACUACUUUGUUUAUUUCAUCCGCAGCUAAUUUUGGUGUUAUGGUGUUAUUACGCCUCAAUAACCGUUCCAUACAGCGAGCAUCUCCGUCAGAGAGUAACCUACGACGCCCUCUAACACUCGAUUUACGUACGCUUUGAUCGAACUUUUUCAACUGACUAUUGCUAAACAUGACAUAACCAAGCGAUGCACAGAUGAAGCGAUUCAAUUAUUUCAGAUAAAGGUAAAUUCAAGGCAUACCAAGCCACAAAAGCGUGACGUGCAAAAUUGGAUGAAUGCAGUUACUUUUGAUUUCUCGCCUUAGCAAGUUUCACAAUUAAGUUUGAAUGAAGUUUGUUUAUGUUUUUUGUUAAAAGAAUAAAUGUUCUAUAAAACCAAAAAAGUUAGAUUGAAAUUGCGUUAAU